CACUGUUCACGACGUACCUACGAUAGACAUUUAAACUGUGGGGUCACCAAAGGUUUCUUGACGCCUUUAAUUAUAAAAUAAUUCGAAAAAUUAAUCAGGAAUUACCUUUAUGUUUUGAUUUAUAUAAUUGAUAUAAAUCAAAACAUCGUGUUAUUUCUGAUUAAUUUUUUCGAAUUACUUUAUUAGGGUGUUGAGAACCUUUGGUGACCCCAUAGUUUAAGUGUCUUUAAAAAGUACAUAGUGAGCAGUGGUCGUUACAUACAAACGUUCACGUAAAUUGUCCCAGUCAAUGGAUGAAUUUAAUGUGUCAAUCAAUGGCCACAGCCACACUGUUUUGAAUUUC
rnacentral:lncRNA from 1 species